rnacentral:rRNA from 1 species
AAAAAGCUCGUAGUUGGAUCUCAGCUCGAGACGGAUGGUCCGCCUACCGGUGGUUACUGUCUGUUCUCAGCAUUCAGCCGGUUUCGCUUGAUGAUCUUCACCGGUUGUCUUGUGUGACCGGCAAGUUUACUUUGAAAAAAUUAGAGUGCUCAAAGCAGGCGUGAAAGCCUGAAUAAUGGUGCAUGGAAUAAUGGAAUAGGACCUCGGUUCUAUUUUGUUGGUUUUCGGAACACGAGGUAAUGAUUAAGAGGGACAGACGGGGGCAUUCGUAUUGCGACGCUAGAGGUGAAAUUCUUGGACCGUCGCAAGACGAACUACUGCGAAAGCAUUUGCCAAGAAUGUUUCCAUUAAUCAAGAACGAAAGUUAGAGGUUCGAAGGCGAUCAGAUACCGCCCUAGUUCUAACCAUAAACGAUGCCAGCCAGCGAUCCGGCUGUGUUCCUCAAAUGACACGCCGGGCAGCUUCCGGGAAACCAAAGCUUUUGGGUUCCGGGGGAAGUAUGGUUGCAAAGCUGAAACUUAAAGGAAUUGACGGAAGGGCACCACCAGAAAUGGAGCAUGCGGCUUAAUUUGACUCAACACGGGAAAACUUACCCGGCCCGGACACAGGAAGGAUUGACAGAUUAAGAGCUCUUUCUUGAUUCUGUGGGUGGUGGUGCAUGGCCGUUCUUAGUUGGUGGGGCGACUUGUCUGGUUAAUUCCGAUAACGAACGAGACUCUAGCCUACUAAAUAGACGCUCCGAUCCUUCGAGUCGGACGUUCUUCUUAGAGGGACAAGCGGCGUUUAGCCGCACGAAACAGAGCAAUAACAGGUCUGGGAUGCCCUUAGAUGUCCGGGGCCGCACGCGCGCUACAUUGAAGGAAUCAGCGUGUGCUCUCCCUAUCCGACAGGAUUGGGUAACCCGUUGAACCUCCUUCGUGCUGGGGAUAGGAGAUUGUAAUUGUCCUCCUUGAACGAGGAAUUCCCAGUAAGCACAAGUCAUAAGCUUGUGUUGAUUACGUCCCUGCCCUUUGUCCACACCGCCCGUCGCUACUACCGAUUGAAUGAUUUAGUGAGGUCUUCGGACUGGCGCUCGGAUUGGCCUUCGGGUCGAGCCGAAGUGCCGGAAAGAUGACCAAACUUGAUCAUUUAGAGGAAGUAAAAGUCGUAACAAGGUUUCC